rnacentral:rRNA from 1 species
UACAGAGGUCCCAAGCGUUGUUCGGAUUCACUGGGCGUAAAGGGUGCGUAGGUGGCUUGGUAAGUUUGAUGUGAAAUCUCCGGGUUUAACCCGGAAAUGGCAUUGAAUACUAUUGAGCUGGAGGUUUGGAGGGGGGACUGGAAUUCUCGGUGUAGCAGUGAAAUGCGUAGAUAUCGAGAGGAACACCAGUGGCGAAGGCGAGUCCCUGGACAACACCUGACACUGAGGCACGAAAGCUAGGGGAGCAAACAGG